rnacentral:lncRNA from 1 species
ACAGUGGUCUCUGGGAUUAUGCUAAACAGAGCAAUUUCCUUGCCCUCCUGGAUCCAAAGAUUUGCAUGGCAGCCAAAAUUAGAGUCCCAAAUUUCUACUUCAUGACCAAGAAAGAGGAAAAAAGCUGUGAUGUUACUGUUUUAUGCUCAACCUCUUUUAAUCUUACUUUGGUCUUUUUCUGAAGUGCUGUUGUGCUGGAAAGGAAACCAGCCUUGGGAAUUAAUUUGCCUUUAUUGGAUUUGCUUGCUACUUACAGUGCUUCUUCAAUGCUACUUACUUAAAAAAAAAAAAAAAAAACCUGCAGCCAAGUGAGUUUGGAUUUUAGAAGCUGAACCCAAAAUGUUUUCCCUGUGAAAGCUCUUCCCACUUUCUGUGGGUACUACUCUAUCAAAUUCCUAGCGAUCCAAAAGGGGAUGAUCUCCUGCCAGGGCCUCCUGAAUCUUCAACUCCCCAGAUUAUCACAUGUAAUCACUCUUCCUCGUUCCUCUUGUGAAUGUUUCACAUUUGACUGUCCUAAUUAAUACUAGAAUUUAAAAUUAACUGUGGCUUAGGCUGAGUUGCCACAAGAGUUUUGAGCCAUAUCCAGCUCCACUUCUUGUUGACCCUGGAACAGGUAUAAACCCCUUUUUCUGUACAAAGAAUGAGAAUAAAUGUAAUUUCUCAGGAUGGAAAAUUCAAGGCCAGUUCUCUUCCUCAUUCACCCAGGAACACCAAAGAAAUCAAAUGAACCAAAUUUAUGAUGAAAUAUAUGAUUAACUUUUAUAACAAAAUGAUUAAAGAUGCUAUUCGAAGGUCUUGAUGGACAUGUAGCUCCUUGGGUACCCUCAGGAAGAGAUGUCUGAAUUGUCUCCUUCUGAUUAAAUUACAUUUCUGUGUCAAGGCAGAUUAGUAUGACCCACUAAAUUUUCUUACCAGAAAUUAAGGUUGAAUAGAAGGAGGUCAGUGUGAGAACGAGUUAUUCCCAGAUGAACAGGACAAAUACUGAACUAUAAGCCAGGAAAUAACUUACCUCUGUUAAGGAAAGGGCUUUGUGUUAAUCUUCAUGGUUCAUUAAGCUUUUUCAAGUUCCUGAAACUGCCUAAAUGCUGUCUACAUCCUUCUGCUCCGUGAAAUAACCAUUUUUCCCAAAAUGUUAACAAAUUCUCAACUCAAAUUCUCAGUGACAACUUUUCAAAAAUAAAAAAAUGAACAUAAUUCAACAGCAUAAGACGUAUUUGCAAAAUAUGUGCAAAUAUGUUUUUUAAGUAAGUAAGUAGCAUUGAAGAAGCACUGUAAGUAGCAAGCAAAUCCAAUAUGUUUCAAGAACCACAGUUUUUGCCAGGCUUGUGCACACUGUAAGCGUGUUGUUACUGCCUGCAGGUGCUGGCAGCUUAGAAGUACUAGAAGAGCCUUUGAAAAUGCCAAUGUGAAAGGCUGCACCAUAGAUUGAUUAAAGCAGAAUGCCUGGAGGUAGAGAUCUGAGCAUCACUAUUAAGAGAUAUCUCAGGGAAUGUAAUAUGCAGUCAGGAGUAAGACCCACUGUGUUUGAGCCCAAGGAGGCAAAGUGGUGGAGUACAGUAAGAAAAAGGCUGGUAAGAAAUGGGGUUGGAGCAGAUAACUGGGUGGACCACAGCAAAGAUUUGGGGUUUCAAUGUGAAUGACUUGAGAAACAACCAGAGAGUUUUUCAUUAGAGUAGUAACCUGAUUUGUUUAUCAAUAACAUAGAUUUCUCAGAACCUAAUGAUUUAUAAACUCUAAAUAAAAAAUAACGGUGAAUUUCAAAUAACUUUCUUGCACUGUAACUUUAGAAAUAUAGUCCACAUCAUAGACAGGUUCCAACCAAGAAAAGCUAAUGAAAGAACAAGAAUGAAACUGGCUCAAGAAUCAAGAAGCCAACUCUUUUUAUGACUUAUGAGCUGUCUUUUCAACCAAAUAGACACUAAUGUUUUGUUGUUGUUGUUGUUUUUAAGUUUAAAAAUUUCAGAAUCACAUUCUGGAAGUAAUUAGCAUCAAAAUAAGUAAAGUAUUUGGCAUAUCUGUCAAGCAGAUAUUCAAAAUAUUGUUUUUAAGAUUGGAUUAGUUUAUGCCAGUUGUCACUGAGGAUAAAGUACAAUUGAGUUUCCAAACAUCUAUAGUAAGGCUCUGUCUUGCUUGCUGUCUAAGAACUUGUUAGGAUUCUGGGAACAAGUCCUCAAUAUUCUAGCUCAUCAUCUUAAUCACCAGCACCUACAGCACAGCACCUGUUAGCCCUUCUCUACCUGAACAAUGAAGACUAUGCAAGUCAGGGAAGCAGCAGAGGCAGCCUUUUAUCCAGAGCAAAAAGAACCUAUUGCCAGACUGAAGACCUGAACCUUGGAUGUCUGCUGAAUUUGUGAUCCUGAGCUGUAAACCUAGAUUCUAUUUUGCCCAGUACAGGUGGUCAUAAUCUGAUCAUCCUUUAGCCUGUGUGUGCACCUGUCUGAUGAUGGAUCCCCAACUCACUGAAGUUCUGAGUGUUGUUCAUCUCAGACCUCACCUCUAAACCUGAACUUGCCUUUGCCCUUAGAGUUCACAGUGGCCACAUGCCUCCCACAGCCCUUGGCUAUUUGGAGCCCCAUGAAAGGGGCAUCCCAAGCCUAUACCUUUUCAUGCUGCCUGUGCCCUGACCCAAAGUCCCAUCAUGUACUGCACAUCAUUCUGGGGAUCUAAAGCAUGUACUGAAUGUUCCCUAAGCAUUCCUGGAUUCCUGCAUAAGUAGAGACUUGAUCCUCAGGUGUACAUACCACCACCAGAGUGUCAGAAAUCCAGAGGUCAAUUGUUUCUCCCAAUAUCCUGAUUUUCCAUGCUACUGGACAGUUCACAAACUUAGAAAAGGUCACCUGAGCUCAUUCCUCUGGACAUCUCUUGGCUAAAAUUUCCUUAAUACUAUAAAUCAAAAUUCUAGUCCUGGCCUAAAAACACCAAUAUGACUUCCACCCACAUCAGACAGCUAGUGCUAGCAGCUCAGCUGACUCAGGAGGUGAUAUCAUCCCUUCAGUUGCUGCAGGGCCCUUGAACUGUGAGGAAACUCUUCCCUGAGAGCAGAUUUCACUCUAUUCUUGAACAAGUUAGUUAGAUGGCCCCCUUCUGCCUUCAAAGGACUUAAUUUUCCUCUGCCUCUGAAUGUAUGCAGUAAACUAUAUGAGCAGGCUUCAGCUAGGCCAACAAGAGUCCCAUCUGUUACCAAGAAGGCUUGUGAAGUCUCUGACAGAGUCAAAGCAGCCAGAGACAUCUCUACAGCAACCCCUAUAAAGUCUGCAAAGUAGGUUGAGGCUUGCAAUGUCUGUGUUCUGUGCAAAUCCAGACCAGAACUGUUACCUUCCUCCUUGCUAUCCACUUAGGGGAUGAACAGUUAUUGAAUGCCCAUAAAAGUCCCAUUUUUAUCUUCCUUUGGCAAUGCCAAUCCCACAAAAUAAAUCAAAAUCAAGACAAUGGCAAAACAAAAAUGGCUUAUGUUUUCAAGUGGUUGUUGCAAGAUUGCCAUGAAUCUAAAGCUUCCCAUCUUAUCUAAGCCAGAACUGUCAAUCAUUAAGUUAAAGUGAGAUAGAGAAACUUCUCCUGGUCAAGAUUCAAUCCUGUAUCCGCUAGAGUCCCUCAGGUUUGGUAACUCUGCCAAGUACCCAUUCUUGUGCAUCAUCCUUUAAGUCCAGACUUCAAAAUAACCACACUCCUUUGGGGAUAAUGGCAUUAUUUAAUUUUUAUUCUUAAAACCUGCUGCACUCAUAUCCCACACCCUAAUGAAUACUAUGACCUGGAAAAAGCAGGAAUGGGGAAGGUGCAGAGCUCAGCUUAACUAAGAAGAAAUCUAGCUCUAAGUUCCUUUACCCAUAAAAUACAGCUGGUUUUCAUUUUCCAUUCAACUAGUUCUUAGGGGUUGGAGUGCACCUUCACAUCAAAGCACUUGCCUAGUUUGUGCAAGGCCCUGGGUUCCAUCCCUAGUUCCCCAAAAAAUGAAAUGAAGGGAAGGGGAGGGAAUGGAAGGAAAAAGAAAAAUACUUAAUGCCAGUGAGGUCCCAGGCUCCUUUCUGGGAAUGGAACCAUAAACUAUCUAGAGUAUAAGUGAGGCAGGCAUUUGAAAAAUGAUCAGGAAUUUGGGGAAUCAGCAAGAUUCUGAUCAACUCAAGGAAUAGAUGAGAUUGCCCUAUGGCUUGUCACCUGGCAUGGAUAUAACAGGAGGAGCUUUCCGGAAAAACUCAACUCCUAAAAGGGUGAUUCUCUACUUUUCAGUUCUUUUACAGACACCUCAAUUCCUGGGAGAUGCCCUUCAGCCUAUACAGUACUCCAAAGAUUGCUCAAAGCUCUGACCUAGACUUCUUGUUUCUGUUUUAUGGUGGCCAAUCUCUGAGUUGUCUUCCCUUACUAUCAUUUUGCACUGUCUACAGGCACACUUACUGUAUUUCCAAACUCAAGUCAUGAAUUAGCUGAUCAGAGAACAGCAGAGUUUCUAUUCUAUGAUUUUUCUGUGGUGAAAAGAAAUGAAAACAAGUAGUGGCAAAUGUACUCCUAAAAGACCUAUAGUAACAUAGUAAAGUUCAAUAAACAGCCUUCCUGAACUAUGAUACAUUACUAGGACUUGAACUUCACUUGGUGAUUAAAUCUGGCUGUUUCUCCCCCAGAUCAUCAUGCUCAUUUAUCAAGGUCCUGUUCAAGGUCACUUGGUUCCAAUAACCCAGAUACUCCCUAACUAACUUAGGGCAAUGGUUCUCAAAUUGUGGUUCCUGGACCACACCCUCAGGCAACUUCUUUAAAAUAUCAGUUUGGGGCCAGGUGUAGUGAUGCACACCUAUAAUCCCAGCAGCUCUGGAGGCUGAGUCAGGAGGAUCGUGAGAUCAAGUCCAGCCUCAGCAAAAGUGAGGUGCAAAGACUCUGUCUCUAAAUAAAAUACAAAAUAGGGCUGGGGAUGUGGUUCAGUGGUCAAAUGCCCCUGCGUUCAACCCCCAGUACCCGCCUCCAAAAAAUAACGGUUUGGGGGCCCCAUCCAAGAUUGGCUAGUUUGGAAUUUCUAGAUAUGGGUCCCAACAAGGGGACUGCAUUUUAACAAGCCCUCUGGAUAAUUGGGUUGUUUGCUCGGCUUUGAGAACCUCUGGUCCCUAGGACCUUUUCACUCAUCUCCUUGAAUCCCUCUUUCCCCACAUGAUUACACAAGUUUGUCAUGAAAGAUGACAUUUCUCUAUCCUUUCAUCCCAGUCACCCUAUCCCAAUCCUCCAGGCUUUUAAAACUUGUUGCAGUCUGGUUGCCAGGAGAAGCCUAGAAUUAUGGGCUCCUGUCCUAUUAUUUUUGAUAAAAGACAGCUCUUAAGAGAAAAUCACAUAGAACAUAUUUGAAACAAACAAAUCUUGGGGGACCCUUCUCUUUACAGCCUUUUAUUUCCUAAUCACAUUCCAUUUUCAAGCACAGAUUAUACAGUACUAACUGAUCUCCCAGCUACCUCUGGAGUUGUUAACCCAAAUUCCCUAACCUGUCAAAUCUAACCCCAGAAAAUAAAAAUAACACCUAUAGAGAGACCAUGCUAGCUGUAGGGGAUAAUUUUCUAGGUCAUGAGCUUUCAGGGAUAAUUUUCUAGGUCUUGGUUCUGAGAUUCCUUCUUCAGUAAGUAGUCCUUUAGGAUUCCCAAGACCACGCUGCUAACAAAUCUUCUACUUAAAUAACUCUACAAGAGGCAUAAACAUGUUAACUUCCUGGUAAGCAGUUGAAAUAAUGUAUUUGAUCAUGGAUGAGAACUUGAGAGAGACAAUAAACUAGAUAUUAUUAUUUGGAAUGCUUUACUCUACUCCAAGUUUUCACCAUCUAUAAAAUAUAAAAGCUUAACUCUCAGGUCUAUUUGGAACACAGAUAAAUAAAGGCCAGAAAGAAGGUAAUAAAUGGACUUUCAAAUCUCCAUUUCUGUGAUCUAUACCUCUCAGGUCUACCUUUAUUCUACUUCCAAAUCCCCCUAUUUGAUAUUUUCUAUCCCUUAUAUCCAAAAAAGUCUAUUAUAAGCCAGAAGUUCCAUUGGACAAAAUGGUGAAUUCAUUAAGUAAUGUUGGAGUCCUACAUUCAUUCAUCCUAUAUGUGGAGAAGUUCUAGAGGAUUAAUUUGAAUUUUCUAAUAAGAGAUUCCCAAAAACUGGCCUGCAAAAUCAUCAAUAAGGUAGGAAACCAGUUUCCUUCUUGGGGUUGUAUGAUAGACCACUAUAUUCUUCUUGGUGUCAUGAACCUCUCAUAUCUACUAAUUCUAACUAUCAUUUUAGUGAGCUAGACUCCUAAUGUGGUAAAAACAACAUGAUAAACAAGGAGAUUUUGGACUGAUGGGUAUGUUUAUUACCUUGACUUGGGUGAUAGUAACACAACUGUAUACACAGGUCCAAAUGCACCAAAUUAUAUACAUUCAUUCUGCCAUUUUUAUAUACUGUUUAUCCUUCAAUUAAAUUGAAGGGAAAGAGACACUGUAAACUUAUCUUGAAAAUAAAAUGCAGUUUUUUCUAACCAAUGAAUCUGAAAUUAAGCAAUUCAUCAGAAUUGUCUCAUUCAAAUCUGCCUUAGGAUUUUAAUAUUUUUAAAAUUAUGACAAAACACGAAUGAGUGGCCUAAGGAAAAUCAUAUUUUAAAAAAAUACUUAUCCACACUAGGUUGCUGUGAAAUAAAUGAUUAUGCUAAGUAUAGAUAUUAUAUGGUUAUAUUUAUAAUGUCUCUGUUGGUAAAUUGGGAAAUUUUUUCAUUAGUAUAACUUUGGAUUGCAUUAUUAUAUGACAUUAUAAAGAGUUUCUUAACCACAAAUUUCAUACGAAACAAUAAAAAAGAACAAGUUGCUACAUUUGCAAAUAAAUUAUACUUCAAACAAUCAUUGCACAGUUUUUGAUGUCGCGGAUACUGCAUCAGGAACUGACUGGAUAAGAAUCAGUUACCAUCAGUUCCUAAUGCAUUACCUUCAGCAUCUAAACAAGCACCAGUAAACCUAAGGUUAGAUUUGCUGUGAAUUGUUUAUGGUCAUUGGAUAAAACAGGAAGUCUUAAUUCAACCCCGAAGAAAAAAUGCUUCUGCAAGGGACAUGAUCCCAAGAUGCUAAACACCUGUAAUUAGCCUACCACUCUAUGGAUUUAUCACUGAAACUGGAAAAGUUAAUCUAGUUCCAUGUUGAUUCCUAUAAUACACUGUGCUUGCUUGCUAAACAUAUCAUUGAAUAAAAUAACUUAAAAGUUGCUGGUCAUUUUUAUAUCUUAGGAGAAAAAUGAUACAUAUUAUUCUUUGAUUUCUGUUUUUAACUUAAAGGUUUAUAGGGUCUAAAUAGGUACUGUUUUUGAAUAGGGAUUAUUUCUUUCUAGUACCACUAUAAUAAAUAGUAUAAGAUAAAAUGUUUCAAAGCAAUUACUAUAAAAAUAGCAUAGUAGUUAAAUUCUACUUUCAACUAGUCAAAAUUCAUUUGUAUUUUCAGCAUUUUCUAGCUGGAGGGUCAAGGUGGUUUGACCUACUCAUUUUACUGCACUUACUAGCUCACUUAUCAAGGUGUAUUGAACACCUAUUAUAUGCCAGGCACUAUUCUAGGCACUUGUGAUGCAGCAGUGAGCAAAAGAAAGUUACUACCAUAAUGGAGCUGAAUUCUAGUGAAGGUAGCUGACUAAUUUGUAAUAAAAACCUAAUUCAUAAUAUUCUCUAUGGAAUCAAGAGUUUUCAGAGGAGCAAUAAUCUUGAAAUAAAUAUGCUUUAACAUAGAGUAAACAUUACUCCAUACAAGUAAUUAUACAGCUUUUGUGGACACUCACCAUAUCACUAUAUACUCUGUGUAUUUUCAUAGGCCCAGCUGAGCAUGUUCUCUGAAGGGAAAAAAAAUUGCUGCCAGGCAGGACCUCUGAAUAGUCUUUCCUACAGGAAACCUGAGACAUAAAUUUAAUAUUUAUUAAACUUAAAUUUGACCCAAAUAUAAACCAUAUGGCCAACUUCUAGUGGAGUAUUGUAUUAAAACAAAAAUAUAUAGUCCAAUGACCAUAGUGAUUUAAAAAAUAAUCCCCACUUUUAUUUAGAUCUGACAAAGAGCAUUAAAUAGAAACCAAUUCGUAAUCUUUAUCAAUACUUCUAGAAAUCUCCUCUCUUGUUCUUAAUUCCCCCACAGUUGCUCCUGAGCCUCUCAAUCUCAAUUUCCAAACGCUUGCCAAUUGUAAAAGCCCCAGCCCAUUUGGCUUAUUUAUAUAUUCUUAUCUUCCUUUCCUCCCACCUUUCCAGUUCUCUCCCACCCCUUUCCCUCUUACAGAAUCAGAUCCAAAGGUCACUGUGGUCCACUAGUCAGAGUGGGGGCUUAUGAAGGUGAAAUGAUCAAGAAAGUUUUGACUCAGAUCCAUCUCACAGCAGGCCCAAUGUGUCUCCAAAACCAAACUGCAGUUAUAUCUCCUGUUUCAGAAUGGAUAAUUGGAAUAGACAAAACUCUGGUAUGCAGAAUUCCCACCUUGGUUUCCUGAGCUUUGGCAAAAGGACUACUAUAGUGGGAAAGGCCAAGUAGAGGCCACCACAACUGCCUUUACCCAGAAAAGUAAUAAACCAAAAGCAAACUCUGGAGGGACUUCAUAAAUUAGUGGCAUCACAAAGGUCUUGAAAGAUGCGGAGGUGGUGAUUCCCACCAUAUCCCCAUUCUACUCUCCUAUUUAACCUAUACAGAAGACAGUUGAAUCUUGGAGAAUGACAGUGGAGUAUCAUACACCUGACCAGGUGAUGACUCAUUGGGCAGCUGCUAUACCAGAUGUGCUUUCAUUGCUUGAGCAAAUUAACACAUUUCCUCAUACCUGGUAUGUAGCUACUGGUGGAUCAAAUGCUUUUUUCUCAGUAUCUAUUAGUAAAGACCACCAGAUACAGUUGCUUUUAGCUGGCAAAAUGAGCUAUCUACCUUCACCGUCCUGUCUCAACUCUUCAACCUCAUUAUAAUUUAGUUCACAAGAAUCUUGACACCUGUGCUUCCCAUGACAUUCAACCAUGCAAAAAUAUGACAAAAAAAGAUGUGAUAUUCAAUCAUGAUAUAAUGCUGAUUGACCUAGUGAGCAAUAGGGAGUAACUACUGUACAUUCAUUGGUAAAGUACUUGGCAGGUUCAAAAGUGGAAAAUAAGUCAAACAAAAACUCAGGGACCUUCUACCUCAGUGAGAUUUCUAGAAGUUUGCUGUUGUCAGGCAUAUUGAGAUAUCCCUUUUAAAGUGAAGCAUCUGGUCCCUCUUACAACCAAGAAAGAGACACAAUGUCUAGGAACCUCUUUGGAUUUGGGAGGCAACAUAUUCCUCAUUUUCAGUACACCAGCCCUUACUGGCACAUCCUUGAAAGAGAGUAAUGAGAGUAAAUCUUCCCGGUGGGCAAAAUUUGGGGCAGUGUACCUGCUGUGCACUUCACUUGGAAGUAAUAAUGACCAGAUAUAUGAUUAUUAUAUACCAAUUAAUAGGUGUGGCUAAUGAUUUGGCUGCAUGUUCACGGGCUUGGAAGGAAAGCAAUUGAAAAACUGAUGACAAGGAAAUUGUGGGGAAUGGGUACAUGGAUAAGGAUUUUUGAAUUGAAAAAUAAAAGUGAAGAUAUUUGCAUCCAUAUGAAUGCACAUCAAAAGGUGACAGAAAGGAGAAUUUUAAUAAAUAAAUGGUUAAUAUGGCCUCUUUCUUUCCCUUACUACCCCCAUCAUUGCCCAAUGGGCUCCUCAACAAAGUGGCCAUGGUGGCAGGAGUAGAGGUUAUGCACUGACCCAGCAACAUGGAUUCCCAUUUACUAAAGUCAACCUAACUAUAACCAAUGCUGAGACCAAUCUAAGAGACCAACACUGAAUCCCCCCAGAGUGAUCAGUCAGCCACCCAAUAACCAAUUGAUUAUAUAGGAACUCUUCCAUCAUAGAAAGGGCAAUGUUUUGAUCCUACUGCAUAGACACUCUGGAUACAAAUUUGCUUUCCCUGCAUGCAUUGCUUCUGCCAAAAUUACCAUUCAUGGACUUAUAGGAUGCUUUAUCCACCAUCAAGGUGCCCCCAAACAGCAUUACUUUUUAUUAAGAAAAUUAAUUUACAGCAAACCAAGUGUUUCAAGUGGUUCAGUUCAUGCUUGUUGAAUUCUCUGGUCUUAUGUUCCCCACCAGCCUGAAGCGGCUGGCUUGAAAUAAUGAUGGAAGGGUUGAAGACAGUCCCAAUGUCAGCUGGUGACAUUACCUUGUAGGGCUAGGACAAGAUUCCACAGAAAGCUAUCUAUGCUCCAAAUGAACGACAAAUGUGUUAUUGGGCAAGUGGCUUGACUUUGUUUUUUCCCUCUCAAAAAUGGAAAUAAUAAUGUAAUGGGGAGGUUAUAAAAAUUACAGAAGAACAUACAUUUAAGUGUUUAAAACAAUUUCUGCUAUAAAAUAAACAUUCAGAUGUUUUAACCAUUAGUAUAAUUAUUUGUCCUCUUACUACUGUGUGUGUGUGUGUGUGUGUGUUUACAUGUGUUCCUCAAAUCUCUGUUCUCUCCAGACAGCCAGAGUAAUUUUUUAAAAGGGGGAGGAAUUAUAUUUUCUGCUAAAACUUCUCAACUUCCCAAUAAAUUUGCAAUGAAAUAAAAGCUGCUUAUUACUGCCUAUAUAACCAUGGAUGUUUUAACUAAUGACUACCCUUGCCAAUUUUAUACCAUGCUAUUUCCUUCCCCGUAUUAGUCAAGGGUUCAGGAGGAACCUGAUAACCCACUCCAAAGGGUAAUUGAAGAAACUUUACAGAGGUGAAGGCAGGGUCAAAGGGCCCAGGGACUUUAAAGGACCCAAGGACUUUCAACUAUUGGAACAGUAGAAAGCUAUUGCCACCCUAGUCAUGCAGGAACAACAGUAGAGGGAGUCACCAGAAUUGAAGCUAUGAGGAGGAUAUAGGGAAAAGGAUACACUCAUACCUUUUGUUGGUAGGGACUGCAAAUUGGUACAACCACUCUGGAAAGCAGUAUAGAAAUUCCUCAGAAAACUUGAAAUGGAACCAUCAUUUGACCUAGUUAUCCUAUUCCUCAGUAUAUAUCUAAAGAAGUUAAAAUCAGCAUUCAUCAGUGAUGCAGCCACAUCAAUGUUUAUAGCAGCUUAAUUCACAAUAGCUAAUCUAUGGAGCCAACCUAGGUGCCCUUCAACGGAUGAAUGGAUAAAGAAAAUGUGGUAUAUAUACACACAAUGGAAUAUUAAUUAGCCAUAAAGAAGAAUGAAAAUAUGGCAUUUUCUGGUAAAUGGUUGGACCUGGAGAGUAUUAUGCUAAGUGAAAUAAGCCAAUCCCCCCUCCCCCCAAAAAAGGCCAAAUGUUCUUUCUGAUAUGUCGAUACUAACACACAAUAAGGGGAAGGGGUGAAGGAAGAAUAGAAGUUCAUUGUAUUAGGC